GCCAUCAUAAGGGCAGCUAGACAAAUUUGGAGUUCCAGCAAUGCUUGGACUCUCUGAGAAUAAACACCAAGGCACACUCUUACUUUGGGCGUGGCAGGGAGAGGCACGACGGAGUGCUGGAUUCCACCAGUCCAGAAGCCCUGCUUCUGUUGGAAUACUAUCAAGGACAUCAAAACAGCUAUCCAAAUGUCCAGAUACACAACCACAGCAUUAAAUUGUGCUUUUCAUUACUCAUCCCCACAUCCUU
rnacentral:lncRNA from 1 species